rnacentral:tRNA from 1 species
UAGCUCAGUGGUAGAGUGUUUGCCUUGUAUGUGAGAAUUCCUGGGUUCAAGCCCCAG